rnacentral:lncRNA from 1 species
CAUUCCCUCUGGUUCCUGCACUCGCUUGCAUACUCCCUUUUGUGAGAAGUGGCCAAGAGCAGAGCGAGCUGAGUGAAAUGAGUCACUACAUUUCCCACCCAUGAAGGGGGUUAGGGUCAAGGGAACAAUCCUGUCUCAUCUGGGGGCCCAUAUGGGAUACGAGAAAGGAUUGUGUAUCAGGAUGAUGCUGACUUUGCAGAAUAAGUUCGGAAGGAGCUCCUCAUCAUCAAUUUUUUUGGAAAUAUUUUUGGUGUUCCAGGCCACAGGGCUUCCUCAAGCAGAGGCCACAGCUGGCAGACAAACCACCCCCUUCUUGGAUCAGCCCUGCAAAGUGAAGUAUGCCCUGCUCCCAUGACAGCUUAUGAACCCAGCAUCACAUCCUACUCAGUUCUGAUAAAGAAGACACCUCUCUCAUUCAGAGUUAAACAAAUUCUACUUUCCUUUGUUUGCAUUUUCUCCUACAGUAUGAUGGGAAAAGAGA